rnacentral:lncRNA from 1 species
ACAUCCGUCAACUGUCACAUCCCUCCUUUCCUAUUAACUUUCUCUCUCCUCACCAGAUUUGGCCAUUUAGCGCAAAUCCAAUGAUCCCCAUUUUUUGUAAAUUAGGAGCUCUUCCUUUCAUUUCCUCAUCACUUUUAUUUAAUUCUUCCAUUCUCUAAGAUCUUAGAGAGAGAGGGAGUGAUCUAGAGAGAGAAGGAGAGGAGAAGAAGAAGGGUGCAAGAAAAACUUCGAGGUUUCGAUAAAAAAAUUAGUAUUUACUUUUAAACAUCUUAAGGAGAAUUUCUAGAGUCAAAGUUAUGAAGCUUGAAAUAAUGAU